rnacentral:rRNA from 1 species
UACGUAGGGUGCGAGCGUUGUCCGGAAGUACUGGGCGGAAAGAGCUCGUAGGUGGUUUGUCGCGUUGUUCGUGAAAACUCACAGCUUAACUGUGGGCGUGCGGGCGAUACGGGCAGACUGGAGUACUGCAGGGGAGACUGGAAUUCCUGGUAUAGCGGUGGAAUGCGCAGAUAUCAGGAGGAACACCGGUGGCGAAGGCGGGUCUCUGGGCAGUAACUGACGCUGAGGAGCGAAAGCGUGGGGAGCGAACAGG